rnacentral:lncRNA from 1 species
AUUAAAAAAGUUUUUUUUUUACUCAAUUUUUUUUUUAAGAGUAUACUAGUAUUCAUACAAACUCCAAUUGCAAUUUUUUAUUUCUAUCUCCGUUCAAAAAAAGAAAAAGAAAAGAAACUCACUCAUUCCUCUCCAAAACUUGAUCAUUUUUUACUUUUUCUUGAAAAUUGACCUCAUUUCAAAGGUAUUGAGAAUAUCUUUCCAUUUGUAUUAAGUUUAUAAAAAUUGAAAUAUACUAUUAAAAGCUAUACAAGUUGUAUAGUACUUUAAAAUUAAUAUACAAAAUAAUCACUAUAUUUUGAACGAGCCUCCAAUAUGAAAAUUCAAAAUAGAUUCUUCAUUACAUAGCAAAAAAGAAAAAUAUAGUUUGUUGGAAAUUAAUCUUCUUACUAUAAAAUUAAUUGAUAUCAAAAAAAAAACUAAAAGUCUCUUAUAAAAUUCGAAUCGCAUCUCACUACAUAUGUUCAAAUAGAUGUCUAUAUGGGAAAACGUGCAUUGAAGUCAAAUGAUGCAAAAAGGACAAAACACGUAGGACAAAUUGAAACACAAGAUUCGUUAUGAACUUUAAAAAAGUUGGUUGUUUAUAUGUUAUAGAAAAUUUGAUUCCUAAGAUUUCUAUUUAUGUAAUUAUAAAAGCAAAAGCCUAUUUCUAAAUUGGAGAUUCCUAGGUUUGACUAAAGUUAUCCCGAGGAUGAUUAGUUAGUGACUUAACCAAAUGUCUCAACCGUGUUUAGGAAACCUCUGGAGAUUGCUAUGUUGUCAUAUAGUCUCUUAAGUUAAAUUAGUAGUGAAGCUAAGACAUUUUUAUUAGAUAAGUUUCUGAAAUGAAGAGGUACUGAAAUUAGUGAUGUAAAAGUGAUUGGGAACUAAAUUCCCCAAUCAUUUACAAAGGCAUCAAGCUCACCAAACUAGAUAGAUCACCAUGAUUAAGUUUGAUAUUUUCCUAAUUAAGGUGAAUUGAACUUAACAUGUUCACCGACUAAUUAAAUUUUGAUCGCCAAAUCUCAUUAGUAACGAUAUCGCCAAGGCUGUCUUGCCAAAUUCGAUGUAUACAUAAAACAAAGACAUCAAUAUCAAGGGGAGAAUAGAAAGGAAAAGAGUAACACAAUCAUAUGAAGAAAAUAUUCCAUCUUAUUGAUCUCGCCAUUACAUAAAAAAAUAAAAAAAGAAUGUGUACAUUGGAGUGUUUACUAAGGAGCGGGGCUAUUAUUCAGUUCGCCCUCCUUCUCCUUCUCCUUAUCAUCGCCUGACUCUUCCUCAUCUUCCUCUUCCUCCUUGAGUAGCUUGACAUCAAUUCCCAUGUCUUGAAUGUUGAGGUCGGGAUGGAGACAACCAAUUUUCCUUUUGCAAAAGUCAAAACUCUCACCAAAGUACCUGGAAGCUACAAAUUCAACAGCCUCCUAGAAGUAUCCAAGAAAAACCCCCACCCCAAAAAAUACUUGGACUCCUCAAUGAUUGAACUUUUUGACAGAUCUUCUUUUCUUUUUUCAUCGCUUGGCCACUCUUUCGACCUCUCCAUGAUGGCAUCUCAGCUUUCCUUGGUCUUCUUCAGCUUAUCAACAACCUGCUACUCUUGGACUCCAAUCUCGGCCAAUUGUUUCCAGCUAUGUGGACAGCUUUUAAGCACUAAUUAUCUCUCUCUCAACCGAGGCAACCCAGGCUUGUUGAGUCAUUGCCUCAUCCCUUAUCUCCUUGCCAUGACCAGUGAGGGAAAACCAGAGUACAACUGCCUAAAAAAGAUAAAAUCAUCAAAUUAAUGAAAUUUAUAGAAGUGUGAACUUAGCACAAAAUCAAAUGGCUACCUGACCGACGAUAUGAAAGAAUUUUGAGAUUGCCCAGUCUAGAUUCAGUUUCUCCACCUCUUCCUUAUCAGCAGGUGGGAUCACUCCCUCAAGAAGUUCCUCCACCAUGGCGGGAUUCUCCAACAUGGAGGCUUUUGAGCCCCAAGAUAGCACCAGGUUGGCCGAGGUUCCUUCCCUGGGGGCUAAAGCAGGUACUGCUUUUUUGCUCGCCGUGGUGGAGGAACUUCUUGAGGGAACUUCUUGAUGUCGCCUUAGACUUGGAAGACGACCUUUUCUUUUUGUCCUCUGGCGGUGGCAUGGAACCCUUCUUCUUGGCAUCAAAUGCUUGGUUGCCCUUCUUGCCAGGCAUCUCGACACGGGGGCGUUUCUCGCCAAUAGCUACCCCUUCGCCAUCAGGGUUGAUCUAGCCACCAGGUUUGCACUCCUGGACCUUUCAGCUAGCCAAGCGAGCUUCUUCAGGAUGAUCCUCUUUGACAUAGAUGUAAAAAAAAACCAACUUCAGUCAAUGAACGAGAAAAAAUAUUUUGAAAAGAGCGAAGGUAGUACCAUUCGAUCUGAGCUCGGGGGGCAACCAUGGUUCUGAUCAGGCCUUCGAGCUUGAACUUAAGCUUCCUGGUUCCUAACUAAGGAAAACCUAAGGAUUGAACAAUAUCUGAUCAGGAAGGCGAUAUAAAGCUUUCCUCUCCCUCCUUUGAAUGGUUUCUAAGUAUUCAACCGAGUCAUCUCAGGAAUUAUCACCACGACGAGGAUCAUCUUGGGAAUGAUGGGACUCACCCUCGUUGCCCGUGAUUGGAGUUGCACCGCUUGUCGAUUUAUCCUUGGCAUUGUCCCUAUCACUAGACGCCAUUGAUUUGGGGGCGAGUCCGAAGCUCCUAAGGAAGGACUUAGAUUCGAGAACUUCUUUGAUUGUAAAAAGAUCUCCUCCAUUAGUGAGUUCAAGAUCCCAUCGAGCCUAUCCUGCUCGAUCUUGGAUAAGACAGGCGACUUGUUGUAGCGCUUACCUGAAAAUGGAAGAACACUUGUUGGUCUCAAGAGAGGUGCUACACUUGAUAAAAAAGACAAAUUAGCGAACGAAGACUGACCUAGGGUGCCCCACGACCUCGGGACCCUUGGACCUCUGGCUUCCCCGGAUAUCUUCGAGGAGAACUCCUAGUCAUCUCCCGAGAUAAAAAAGAAUUUCUUCUUCCAUCCCUUGACAUUGCUGGGGUACCCGCUAACAGGUUCUUCUUUGGCGAGCCUUAAAAUAGAGCCAUCCAAAGUCUGACUUUGAGUUUUUAUUCAGACUAAAUAGACUCUUGAACUCGUUGAGGGAAAGGGUGAAUUUGUGAGCUCGCCAUAGCAUCACUGUGCAUACAACACUUCGCCAUGCAUUGGAGAGGAGUUGGGUGGGGCAAGUGUUGUAAAAAUACAAGAUUCUCCUAAUAGUGGGACGUAUGAGAGAGGAGACCAAACGUGUGAUGAAAGGCGGGCUCAUAAAAGGCCACCUCGCUCGAGGUGAGUAGACGCUAUGGUCUUGUCCACCUUGGGUAACCUGAUUUGAACGCCUGACGGAAUGGAGCAUGACUCUCUAAGACGAUCCAGCUUGUCUUGAGUCAUGGUAUUAAUUUCCUUCUCUCAAUUGGAGGUAGAGUAAUUGCUGAGGGACUGCCCUCAAGACUAGGGGGAACUCCCAAGGGGAGGAAGGAAGUUGAUUUAUCUUGUCGGUCAUGUAUGACUUUUCUCCUAAGUGAUCAAAAAUCUAUAAAGGUGGAGAAUUUUCUAAGUUUCCUACGUCGCCGUUACAAGACAUAAACCACAUAUUUAAUAAAGGUAGUUGGGUAAUACUUACAGAAUGACUUAGAUGAUGGCUAGAUAGAGAGUUAGCAAGGGCGAGGUUCACGUCGGAGCAAAAACAACAUUUUGUUUAUCUCUGGCAAUGGAAGAAUGCGUUGUGUGGUGGAACCCCAUAUUUAUAGGAAGUACCAAAGGCUGAGAUUUGUUUGCUUCAAUGGUUAAGAUCGCACGAUGCUUAGAAUCCGACGGUUUUUGUUGAACCACUGUUCCUGCCAAAAUGUCACUCCGCCAUAAUGCGCUCGUCCACGUGCCAGUCUGUGGAGACAUGCCAUCAUUACUUGCCGACAUCAUCAAACUACACUUAAAUUGCUACUUGAUGAUGCUGAGUUUUUUACCUCAGCAUCUCGAGUAGGAGGCAACUGAUGAGGGGUAAAAUCGUUGCAUGUUGACGAUCUGAGAUCAUCACCGUACAAAGACCAUGUCUCCAAUACCUUGCUUGAUCAUCACUCAGUUCUCCAAGUUCCCACUAAAUAUCCUUGUCCUCCUUCAAGCCUUGUCGUGCCCCUUGUCGAGGUGGUUCACCUCGGCCCGAUGUGUUUUACCUCGCCAUUUACCUUGAGGAUCUUGAGACUCCUCCUCCGUGAGACUCCAUCUCCGCCACUCCUCUUACAUUCGUUGUGCAUUCUCCAUAUGGCAACUUCCUUCUUUUACUUUGAGAUCCUCAGACACGGCUUCCAUACUUGGCAGCUCGAUCAUAAUGCCGUGAUAUUCUCGCAUGGCUCUCCAUUCUUCAUCUAUAAAAGGCCGCUCACCCUCCAUCAUAAGGGGUAAUUGCUCUCUCUAUACUUGGGCUUUAGCUUUGAUAUUCUACUUGAUCUAGCUUUUUAUCUUAGUCUCAUCUCCACGCUGAAGGGUUUUGUAGCAGUCUCACCCUGGCCGAUAACGUUUGCCCUUUUGCGCAGGUUGUCUAGGGCAUAUACCGAGCUUAAGAAACAAUUCGGACUGUUAAUUGCUCAACCCAGCUUUCUACCACAACAAUAACUAAACCACACUUUUUAUUAUUAUUAUUGAAGUACAAAUUUUAUUAAAAAAAUAAUAAAAUUAAAGUAUAAUAACGUAACUUGGACCACGAUAAAUUAUAACUUUGAAGGUGCGCAAAGCAUAAAUUUUUUCUUUUGUUAAUGUGAUAUAUAUAACCUCACAUGCAAGGUGAACCACCUAAAGUUUUGUGAUUGUUAAUAUAAAUAACGAGGGUUUCUAUAUUUGUUCUCUCUUAAUUUACAUGCUUCACAAUCUUUUUUUUAUUUUUAAUAGUCCAGUAUAUCUAUUUAUUCAAUUGAGUUUGAAAGAGGUAAAUUUGGAAGUUAUAAAAUUAAUAACUGGACAAAUAUCUAGUUGUCUUAAAAGUACUCAGACUGACUACUU